CUGGGACUGAGACACGGCCCAGAUUCCUACGGGAGGCAGCAGUGGGGAAUAUUGCACAAUGGGCGGAAGCCUGAUGCAGCGACGCCGCGUGAGGGAUGACGGCCUUCGGGUUGUAAACCUCUUUCAGCACGGAAGAAGCGAGAGUGACGGUACGUGCAGAAGAAGCGCCGGCUAACUACGUGCCAGCAGCCGCGGUAAUACGUAGGGCGCAAGCGUUGUCCGGAAUUAUUGGGCGUAAAGAGCUCGUAGGCGGUUUGUCGCGUCUGCUGUGAAAGCCCGGGGCUUAACCCCGGGUGUGCAGUGGGUACGGGCAGACUUGAGUGCAGUAGGGGAGACUGGAAUUCCUGGUGUAGCGGUGAAAUGCGCAGAUAUCAGGAAGAACACCGAUGGCGAAGGCAGGUCUCUGGGCUGUUACUGACGCUGAGGAGCGAAAGCAUGGGGAGCGAACAGGAUUAGAUACCCUGGUAGUCCAUGCCGUAAACGUUGGGCACUAGGUGUGGGGGACAUUCCACGUUUUCCGCGCCGUAGCUAACGCAUUAAGUGCCCCGCCUGGGGAGUACGGCCGCAAGGCUAAAACUCAAAGGAAUUGACGGGGGCCCGCACAAGCGGCGGAGCAUGCGGAUUAAUUCGAUGCAACGCGAAGAACCUUACCAAGGCUUGACAUACACCGGACCGGUUCAGAGAUGUUCCUUCCCCCUUGUGGGGCUGGUGUACAGGUGGUGCAUGGUUGUCGUCAGCUCGUGUCGUGAGAUGUUGGGUUAAGUCCCGCAACGAGCGCAACCCUCGUUCUAUGUUGCCAGCACGUGAUGGUGGGGACUCAUAGGAGACUGCCGGGGUCAACUCGGAGGAAGGUGGGGAUGACGUCAAAUCAUCAUGCCCCUUAUGUCUUGGGCUUCACGCAUGCUACAAUGGCCGGUACAAUGGGUUGCGAUGCCGUGAGGUGGAGCUAAUCCCAAAAAGCCGGUCUCAGUUCGGAUCGUGGUCUGCAACUCGACCACGUGAAGUCGGAGUCGCUAGUAAUCGCAGAUCAGCAACGCUGCGGUGAAUACGUUCCCGGGCCUUGUACACACCGCCCGUCAAGUCACGAAAGUUGGUAACACCCGAAGCCGGUGGCCUAACCCUUGUGGGAGGGAGCCGUCGAAGG
rnacentral:rRNA from 1 species